rnacentral:rRNA from 1 species
UACGUAGGGGGCGAGCGUUGUCCGGAUUCAUUGGGCGUAAAGAGCUCGUAGGCGGCUUGGCAAGUCGGGUGUGAAAUCUCUGGGCUUAACUCAGAGAGGCCACUCGAUACUGCUAUGGCUAGAGUCCGGUAGGGGAGUGUGGAAUUCCCGGUGUAGCGGUGAAAUGCGCAGAUAUCGGGAGGAACACCAGUGGCGAAGGCGGCACUCUGGGCCGGUACUGACGCUGAGGAGCGAAAGCGUGGGGAGCGAACAGG